GGGGCUCCAAAGUACUGAUGGUGUAGAGAUGAAAUUCCGAAAUACCUUUUUUAUUCAGAAAAUCAAUGGCACAGGUAUAGGCGAAGGCAUCCCCUUAUUAGAUAACUGACGUUAAAAUACGAAGGCUCUGAGACGCGAACAGGAUUAGAGACCCUAUUAGUCGGAGCAGUAAACGAUGAAUGUCAUAGGUUAGAUAAUUAUUUAUCCUGUAAACGAAAGUGUAAGCAUUCCACCUCGAGAGUAAUAUGGCAACGUUGAAACUGAAAUCAUUAGACCGUUUCUGAGACCAGUAGUGAAGUAUGUUGUUUAAUUUGAUAGCCCGCAGAAAACCUUACCACAACUUGAAUAUUUAUAUCUUGCAUAUAAUUACAAGUGUUGCACGGCUGUCUUCAGUUAAUGUCGUGAGACAUCGGUUGGCUCCAUUUAAUUAACGCAAACCCUUGCUUUAUUUUUUUAUAUAAAGUAUUCUACUUUAGAAAAGUUUUGAUAAUAGGGACUAGGACAAGCCCUCAUGACCUAAAUGUUGU
rnacentral:rRNA from 1 species